UGUGAUGAUGAUUGUAUUUUGAGGGUACAUAGAAGAUCCGAGUAGCAUCUUGGCGGGGCAAUAUCCAGGUUGCAUAGUUCUCACUUUGCAACCGUGUGUUGCAGCCAUGGCUUUACCCGUAGUUGUGUUCAUCUCUCAAUUACAUGUCUGAGUCUUCCAGUUGUAAAAGUAUUAUCACAGAUUCACAGAUCUAAAAGUACAUGUCUGAAAGACAGCUUGCUUGCUGCAGUCUCUAUAAAGUACUAUAUGAUAUAUCACUUGGAUGUUUCCCAAGUGUUCUAUGAUGCAUAAGCUGAGCCUGUGAGGCUAUGAUGCAUAAUAGACUGUGAUGAUGAUCCAGGACAAGAUGGUAAUUGAACAUCCGUCAAGCUCUUCCUCACUGUGAUGAUGAUCAAUGGAGAAGAUCUGAUGUUGUUUUGUGAGAUGUGUGAGCAUUGAGAGACAAAGCAUAUGGUGAUCCGUGUGAAGUCAAAUGGACGGUCCCGAUGUUGAUCCGUGUGAGAAAGUUAAACAACCUUUAAAGCAUGAUGUACAUCAUGCUUUAAAGGUUGUUUAAGUUUAGUGGAAAAUUACUCUUGUACAUCAUGCUUUAAAGCGGGGUUACAUAACAUAAUAGACUGUGAUGAUGAUUGUAUGUUGAGGGUACAUAGAAGAUCCGAGUAGCAUGUUGGCGGGGCAAUAUCCAGGUUGCAUAGUUCUCACUUUGCAACCGUGUGUUGCAGCCAUGGCUUUACCCGUAGUUGUGUUCAUCUCUCAAUUUAUCCGUGUGAGAAAGUAAAACAUUUGGACGGCAGAUGUAUACCCUUGUAAAGGGUAAAAGGGUUUGUGUUUUCUUGUGCCUUAACAGUUGUACAUUGUGCAUUAAGUGUUUUUUCAACACCUUGUUCAAUUACCAUCUUGUCCUUCACAUAUGUUUGACGGAUGUUCGAAGGACGAAAGCUGAGGUUUACGAAGGAUUUUCGCAUGUGUUUUGUGAUGAAUCGACUCAGAUGCGGUUAUUUCAAAUUAGGUUGAAAGUUUUGUGAUAUUUGAAUUUGUAUUUUUGGUGAUGAUAGUUAGGUUAAUUUCAGAUAUGACAUAGUGAAAGGAUAAAUUGUUUUUGU
rnacentral:lncRNA from 1 species